rnacentral:rRNA from 1 species
CCUACGGGAGGCAGCAGUGAGGAAUAUUGGUCAAUGGCCGGAAGCCUGAACCAGCCAAGCCGCGUGAGGGAAGAAGGUACAGCGUAUCGUAGACCUCUUUUGUCAGGGGACAAAAGCGGGGACUAGUCCCCGGAUGAGGGUACCUGAAGAAAAAGCAUCGGCUAACUCCGUGCCAGCAGCCGCGGUAAUACGGAGGAUGCGAGCGUUAUCCGGAUUUAUUGGGUUUAAGGGGUGCGCAGGCGGCCUGUUAAGUCAGCGGUAAAAGCCCGGGGCUCAACCCCGGCGAGCCGUUGAAACUGGGGGGCUGGAGUGGGAGAGAGGCAUGCGGAAUGCGCGGUGUAGCGGUGAAAUGCUUAGAUAUCGCGCAGAACCCCGAUUGCGAAGGCAGCGUGCCGGGCCGACACUGACGCUGAGGCACGAAAGCGUGGGGAUCGAACAGGAUUAGAUACCCGGGUAGUC